AACGAACGCUGGCGGCGUGGAUUAGGCAUGCAAGUCGAACGGAGUUUCUAGCUUUUUCGGAAACUUAGUGGCGAAAGGGUGAGUAACACGUGGGUUACCUGCCCUAGGGUUCGGGAUAACCUGUCGAAAGACGGGCUAAUACCGGAUACGUCCUGUAUCUUUCGAGAUACAGGGGAAAGAUGGGGAUCCGUAAGGACCUAUCACCCUUGGAUGGGCCCGCGGCCUAUCAGCUAGUUGGUGAGGUAAUGGCUCACCAAGGCUAAGACGGGUAGCUGGUCUGAGAGGAUGGUCAGGCCACACUGGAACCUGAGACACUGUCCAGACACCUACGGGUGCAG
rnacentral:rRNA from 1 species